UACGGAGGGUGCAAGCGUUGUCCGGAUUUAUUGGGUUUAAAGGGUGCGUAGGUGGCCCUGCAAGUCCGUGGUGAAAGCCUGCUGCUCAACAGCAGAACUGCCAUGGAUACUACAGGGCUUGAGUCCAGACGAGGUUGGCGGAAUGGAAGAUGUAGCGGUGAAAUGACAUAGAUAUCUUCCAGAACCCCGAUUGACGUAGGCAGCUGACGUAGGCUGGUACUGACACUGAGGCACGAAAGCGUGGGAGCGAACGAGG
rnacentral:rRNA from 1 species